rnacentral:misc_RNA from 1 species
CGAAGUUGAAGAUGAAAUGUGUGCAAUAGGACCCACUAAAGGAUUCCCAUUCUCUUUCGCUUCGAAGAAUUUGGAUCUUGUAUCUGUUAAAGCACACUCCAUGCGUUCAACACCUGCAUCACCGCUUAGAUGCAGUACUUUAUCCCUCAGAAGAUUCUGGUCUUCAGAAACCUGUCUCUGGAUAGCUUUCAUAUCAUGAGUAAGAUCACAUGUCUGACCUUCAACAGUUAACUUGCAUUUCUGCAUCAUUG